AAAUUGAAGAGUUUGAUCAUGGCUCAGAUUGAACGCUGGCGGCAGGCCUAACACAUGCAAGUCGAGCGGUAGCACAGAGAGCUUGCUCUCGGGUGACGAGCGGCGGACGGGUGAGUAAUGUCUGGGAAACUGCCUGAUGGAGGGGGAUAACUACUGGAAACGGUAGCUAAUACCGCAUAAUGUCGCAAGACCAAAGUGGGGGACCUUCGGGCCUCAUGCCAUCAGAUGUGCCCAGAUGGGAUUAGCUAGUAGGUGGGGUAACGGCUCACCUAGGCGACGAUCCCUAGCUGGUCUGAGAGGAUGACCAGCCACACUGGAACUGAGACACGGUCCAGACUCCUACGGGAGGCAGCAGUGGGGAAUAUUGCACAAUGGGCGCAAGCCUGAUGCAGCCAUGCCGCGUGUGUGAAGAAGGCCUUCGGGUUGUAAAGCACUUUCAGCGGGGAGGAAGGCGGUGAGGUUAAUAACCUCACCGAUUGACGUUACCCGCAGAAGAAGCACCGGCUAACUCCGUGCCAGCAGCCGCGGUAAUACGGAGGGUGCAAGCGUUAAUCGGAAUUACUGGGCGUAAAGCGCACGCAGGCGGUCUGUCAAGUCGGAUGUGAAAUCCCCGGGCUCAACCUGGGAACUGCAUUCGAAACUGGCAGGCUAGAGUCUUGUAGAGGGGGGUAGAAUUCCAGGUGUAGCGGUGAAAUGCGUAGAGAUCUGGAGGAAUACCGGUGGCGAAGGCGGCCCCCUGGACAAAGACUGACGCUCAGGUGCGAAAGCGUGGGGAGCAAACAGGAUUAGAUACCCUGGUAGUCCACGCCGUAAACGAUGUCGAUUUGGAGGUUGUGCCCUUGAGGCGUGGCUUCCGGAGCUAACGCGUUAAAUCGACCGCCUGGGGAGUACGGCCGCAAGGUUAAAACUCAAAUGAAUUGACGGGGGCCCGCACAAGCGGUGGAGCAUGUGGUUUAAUUCGAUGCAACGCGAAGAACCUUACCUGGUCUUGACAUCCACAGAACUUUCCAGAGAUGGAUUGGUGCCUUCGGGAACUGUGAGACAGGUGCUGCAUGGCUGUCGUCAGCUCGUGUUGUGAAAUGUUGGGUUAAGUCCCGCAACGAGCGCAACCCUUAUCCUUUGUUGCCAGCGGUUCGGCCGGGAACUCAAAGGAGACUGCCAGUGAUAAACUGGAGGAAGGUGGGGAUGACGUCAAGUCAUCAUGGCCCUUACGACCAGGGCUACACACGUGCUACAAUGGCAUAUACAAAGAGAAGCGACCUCGCGAGAGCAAGCGGACCUCAUAAAGUAUGUCGUAGUCCGGAUUGGAGUCUGCAACUCGACUCCAUGAAGUCGGAAUCGCUAGUAAUCGUAGAUCAGAAUGCUACGGUGAAUACGUUCCCGGGCCUUGUACACACCGCCCGUCACACCAUGGGAGUGGGUUGCAAAAGAAGUAGGUAGCUUAACCUUCGGGAGGGCGCUUACCACUUUGUGAUUCAUGACUGGGGUGAAGUCGUAACAAGGUAACCGUAGGGGAACCUGCGGUUGGAUCACCUCCUUA
rnacentral:rRNA from 3 species